UACGGGGGGGGGCAAGCGUUGUUCGGAAUUACUGGGCGUAAAGGGCUCGUAGGUGGCCAACUAAGUCAUACGUGAAAUCCCUCGGCUUAACCGGGGAACUGCGUCUGAUACUGGACGGCUUGAGGGUCGGAGAGGAACGCGGAAUUCCAGGUGUAGCGGUGAAAUGCGUAGAUAUCUGGAGGAACACCGGUGGCGAAGGCGGCGUUCUGGACGGCUACUGGACACUGAAAAACGAAAGCCAGGGGAGCAAACGGG
rnacentral:rRNA from 1 species